rnacentral:rRNA from 1 species
UAGUCGACGAGUUCAGACUCGCGGCGAAUAGCUCAGUAACACGUGGCCAAGCUACCUUCAGUCAGCGAUACCCUCGGGAAACUGAGGUUAACAGCUGAUACAAAACGCCUGCUGGAAUGCGGCGUUUCAGAAAGACUACGCUGAAGGAUGCGGCUGCGGCCGAUUAGGUAGACGGUGGGGUAACGGCCCACCGUGCCAGUAAUCGGUACGGGUGAUGAGAGUCAGAGCCCGGAGACGGAAUCUGAGACAAGAUUCCGGGCCCUACGGGGCGCAGCAGGCGCGAAACCUUUACACUGCACGGAAGUGCGAUAGGGGAAUCCCAAGUGCGAGGGCAUAUUAGCCCUCGCUUUUCUCGACUGUAAGGUGGUCGACGAAUAAGAGCUGGGCAAGAC